AAGUUAACGAAAGUCUAAAACUUUCAAAAUCUUCUCUCUGCUGGAUCGAGAAGAGUGUUUAACCUUUGGAGCUCUCUCUCUUUAAGUCUAUCGCAUUCGAUUCGAAUCCCACCUUUGAUUUCGUUCCUUGGUAGUGGUCCCCCCCCCCUCACUCAGUUCGCCGCCGUUAGCUGCCGAAGCUUGUCUCCGUCGGUGAAUUUUGGUCAAUUGAGAGAGAUUUGCAAUGGAGAAAGUUGCUUCUCUCCGGUGCCAAAGUAAAGAACUUUGUGUGAAAUGAGUUGGUUUUUCACUCAAGAAAUGGUUAUACAUGUUAUGUUGGGUGAACUUGUAAGUUUGAAUAUGAGCAAUGGAGUUGGGGAAGGUGGAAGAAGUCAGAGCAGAGAAUCUCACGGCAAGAGAGAGCUUUUUCAAGGCAGUGAUUUCGCUUACGCUUUAGGGAGAAUAGCAGUGGCUCAGAUUUGCGAGAGUGUAGAGGUUAAUGUGUCUCAGCAAUCACAGAAGGGGGUUAGGUUUAGUUCUUUUCAAGAAUCUGCUCUUGAUACGCUAACCGGCGUAGCGGUUCAGUAUAUCCAGAGCAUUGGGAAGGCUGCUCAGUUUUAUGCUAACGUGGCCGGUAGAGUAGAGGGUAACUCUCUGGAUAUUGUUCAGGCAUUAACGGAUUUGGGAUCUGGUUCUGGUGUUUCAGACAUUGAGUGUUGUCUUGGUGAUUCUGGUAUAGUCAAGGAUGUUAUUCGUUAUACAGGAGAAGCGGAGGAGGUGCCGUUUGUUUAUGCUCUUCCCCGUUUCCCAAUUAAUAAAGAGAAAAGAGAUUCUCCUAGUUUCUACGAGGUUGGAGCAGAACCUCCAUAUGAACACAUCCCUGUUUGGCUUCCUGCAUUUCCCGAAACUAAUGUAGGCACAAUCGAAGGAAAUGUGCCAUCUUUACCGAGUAUACAGCAUUCUUUCAAUGGUGGCGGGUUAGAAGUACUCAAAUCUCCAAAGAGUGCUCGAAAUUCAACACAAGGAGAAGAAGAAAUGGAAGGUAAUCCGUUUCUUGCCGCACCUCUUCGGUUUGUAGAGAAUGAAGUGUCACCUGUGGUCGUCCGCCUUCUGGAGCUUUCAAAUGAAGUUGUUGGCAUCAAUCACGUUCCUGAUAAGCAUACAAGCAACAACAACAGUCACAUCCCAGUUCUUGAGGCAUCUACUCCAUGUGAUGAUAUCAACAACAAGAACAAAUUAUCUGAAUCAGAGGAUGGAGAGAAGAAAGGUGGUGCAAGACCACAGCAAACUUUGUUGGUGUUUCAAGAUUGGGACUUUAAAGAGACCUUCGUGUUUGGCAAUAAAGGGGAGCGUCCAGGGACGUCGGUGGUUUCAAGAAGGUGAAGUCAAGAGGGAGAAGAAGUCAGAAACCGAAGAAAAUGGUGAAAGAUUUGACUUGGCAAAUCUCGGCCCAGAUGUUGUUAUAUAGGUAUUGUCAUUUUACAAUUUGUAGACAGAAUAGCUUUUACAUCCUGAGAAUAAAGAGAAGAUUGCUUGGCCUCUAACUUAGUUUGUUAUUAUGAUUGACCAAUUCAUAUGCUC